CCUACGGGUGACAGCAGUCGAGAAUCAUUCACAAUGGGGGAAACCCUGAUGGUGCGACGCCGCGUGGGGGAAUGAAGGUCUUCGGAUUGUAAACCCCUGUCAUGUGGGAGCAAAUUAAAAAGAUAGUACCACAAGAGGAAGAGACGGCUAACGCUGUGCCAGCAGCCGCGGUAAUACAGAGGUCGCAAGCGUUGUUCGGAAUCACUGGGCGUAAAGCGUGCGUAGGCUGUUUCGUAAGUCGUGUGUGAAAGGCGCGGGCUCAACCCGCGGACGGCACAUGAUACUGCGAGACUAGAGUAAUGGAGGGGGAACCGGAAUUCUCGGUGUAGCCGUGAAAUGCGUAGAUAUCGCGAGGAACCCUCGUGGCGAAGGCGGGUUCCUGGACAUUACCUGCCGCUGAGGCACGAAUGCCAGGGGAGCGAACUGGAUUAGAUACCCUAGUAGUC
rnacentral:rRNA from 1 species